AUUGAACGCUGGCGGCAUGCCUAACACAUGCAAGUCGAACGGAGGUAGGGGCAACUCUACUUCAGUGGCGGACGGGUGAGGAAUGCGUCGGAAUCGUACCCUAUGGUGGGGGAUAACACAGGGAAACUUGUGCUAAUACCGCAUAAUGUCGAGAGACCAAAGCAGGGGACCGCAAGGCCUUGCGCGAUAGGAUGAGCCGACGCCCGAUUAGCUAGUUGGUAGGGUAAAGGCCUACCAAGGCGACGAUCGGUAGCUGGUCUGAGAGGAUGAUCAGCCACACUGGGACUGAGAUACGGCCCAGACUCCUACGGGAGGCAGCAGUGAGGAAUCUUCCACAAUGGACGAAAGUCUGAUGGAGCAAUACCGCGUGCAGGACGACGCUUUUUCGGAGUGUAAACUGCUUUUGUCGUCGAAGAUUAUGACUGUAGACGAAGAAUAAGGACCGGCUAACUACGUGCCAGCAGCCGCGGUAAGUCGUGUGACACG
rnacentral:rRNA from 1 species